GACGAACGCUGGCGGCGUGCUUAACACAUGCAAGUCGAGCGGUAAGGCCCUUUCGGGGGUACGACGAGCGGCGAACGGGUGAGUAACACGUGGGUGACCUGCCCUCAGCUCUGGGAGUAAGCCUGGGAAACCGGGUCUAAUACCGGAUAUGACUCCAUGACGCAUGUUGUGGGGUGGAAAGCCUUGUGCGGCUGAGGAUGGGCCCGCGGCCUAUCAGCUUGUUGGUGGGGUGAGGCCUACCAAGGCGACGACGGGUAGCCGGCCUGAGAGGGCGACCGGCCACACUGGGACUGAGACACGGCCCAGACUCCUACGGGAGGCAGCAGUGGGGAAUCUUGCGCAAUGGGCGAAAGCCUGACGCAGCGACGCCGCGUGA
rnacentral:rRNA from 1 species